UAUAUGAAAGGUAUAUAAAGUCUAACCUGCCCAUUGGGAACUAAAAGGCCGCGGUAUUAUGACCGUGCAAAGGUAGCAUAAUAAUUAGACUUUUAAUUGAAGGCUAGAAUGAAUGGUUGAACAAGAAAUUAGCUGUCUUGAGUAAAAAUAUUAAAUUUAACUUUUAAUGAAAAGGCUUAAAUAAAUUAGAGGGACGAUAAGACCCUAUAAUACUUUUAUAUUUAUAAUUUAAUAGAAAUCUUUCUUUACAAAAAUUUAAGUUAGAAUAUUUUAUUGGGGCGAUGAAGAUAAAAUUUUAGGUAACUGUUUUUGCUUUUUAACAAUAAUAUUUGAAUUUUAGAUCCCAAAAAAGAUCAAAAGAUUAAGUUACUUUAGGGAUAACAGCGUUAUUUUCUUUAAGAGUUCAUAUCGACAAGAAAGUUUGCGACCUCGAUGUUGAAUUAUAAGUUCUUUGUGGGGCAGAAAUUACAAAAGAAGGUCUGUUCGACCUUUAAAAUUUUACAUGAUUUGAGUUC
rnacentral:rRNA from 1 species